rnacentral:rRNA from 1 species
AGAGCGUAUGGCGGAUGCCUAGGCUCUCGGAGACGACGAAGGACGCGAUAAGCUGCGAAAAGCUACGGGGAGGUGCAAAUGACUUUUGAUCCGUAGAUGUCCGAAUGGGGCAACCCGCAUAGUUGUUGACUAUGUACCAAUUUAUUGGGGAAAACCCAGGGAACUGAAACAUCUAAGUACCUGGAGGAAAAGAGAACAAUAGUUAUUCUGUUAGUAGUGGCGAGCGAAAACGGAACAGCCCUAAAAUGCUAGAUAAGUGAGUGGAAUCGUUUGGGAAGACGAAUCGAAGAGGGUGACAAUCCCGUACACGAAGCGAAUUUAGUACUAAUCGAGUAUGGCGAGGCCGGUGAAACCUUGUCUGAAGAUGCCAGCACCAUCUGGUAAGGCUAAAUACUCCCGAGAGACCGAUAGUGAACCAGUACUGUGAAGGAAAGGUGAAAAGAACCCUAAGAAAGGGAGUGAAAAGAACCUGAAACCAUACGCUUACAAGCGGUCGGAGCAAUGUGUUUACACAGAGUGACGGCGUGCCUUUUGCAUAAUGAGCCUACGAGUUACUCCUCACUAGCAAGCUUAAGGUUUUAAGGACCGGAGGCGGAGCGAAAGCGAGUCUGAAUAGGGCGAUUAGUUAGUGGGGGUAGACGCGAAACCUGGUGAUCUACCCAUGGGCAGGUUGAAGCUGAGAUAGUAUCUCAGUGGAGGACCGAACCGGUACAUGUUGAAAAAUGUUCGGAUGACCUGUGGGUAGGGGUGAAAGGCCAAUCAAACCAGGAGAUAGCUCGUACUCCCCGAAAUGCAUUUAGGUGCAGCGUUGGGUCGAGUGUCAUGGAGGUAGAGCUACCAAUAGGGCUAGGGGGCUUCACCGCCUACCAACCCCUGAUGAACUCCGAAUGCCAUGACACUGCACCAGCAGUGAGGCUAUGGGUGCUAAGGUCCGUAGCCAAGAGGGAAACAACCCAGACCAUCAGCUAAGGUCCCCAAGUGUAUAUUAAGUUGAAUGAACGAGGUGGGAAUGCUAAGACAGCUAGGAUGUUGGCUUGGAAGCAGCCAUUCAUUUAAAGAGUGCGUAACAGCUCACUAGUCGAGCGUUCCUGCGCGGAAAAUAAUCGGGCAUCAAAUAUACCACCGAAGCUAUGGAUUCAUAUCAAGAGAUAUGAGUGGUAGGGGAGCAUUCUGUACAGCGAAGAAGGGUAACUGUGAGGUUACCUGGAGCGUACAGAAAAGAAAAUGUAGGCAUGAGUAACGAUAAGAAGGGUGAGAAACCCUUCCGCCGUAAGACUAAGGUUUCCUCGAUCUAUGCUAAUCAGAUCAGGGUUAGUCGGGACCUAAGGAGUAUCCGAAAGGAGAAUUCGAUGGAAAACGGGUUAAUAUUCCCGUACCGGUAUAUACUGCGAUGUGGUGACGAAGGAGUGUAAGGACCGCCAACAGACGGAAUUGUUGGUUGAAGUGCGAAGACGUUGAUUGUGUAGGUAAAUCCGCACAUGAGUUGAUGUACGAUAGUACUCAAAGGCUUAGGCCGGCGAGAUAGUGUCCCCAAACAAGCUUCCAAGAAAAACCACUAAGCAUAGGUAUAUAGCGCCCGUACCGUAAACCGACACAGGUAGUCGAGGAGAGUAUCCUCAGGCGCUCGAGUGAUUCGUGGCUAAGGAACUAGGCAAAAUGGUCUCGUAACUUCGGGAGAAGAGACGCUCUAUUUAAAAUUAGAGCCGCAGUGAAGAGGCCCAGGCGACUGUUUAGCAAAAACACAGGACUAUGCGAACUCGAAAGAUGAAGUAUAUGGUCUGACACCUGCCCGGUGCUGGAAGGUUAAGGAAGGGGCUUAGUGCUUGCACGAAGGUCUUAACUGAAGCCCCAGUAAACGGCGGCCGUAACUAUAACGGUCCUAAGGUAGCGAAAUUCCUUGUCGGGUAAGUUCCGACCUGCACGAAUGGUGUAACGAUCUGGGCACUGUCUCAGCCACGAGCUCGGUGAAAUUGAAGUAUCGGUGAAGAUGCCGAUUACCCGCAAUGGGACGAAAAGACCCCGUGCACCUUUACUACAGCUUCACAUUGUGCUUGGAUAUAAGAUGUGUAGGAUAGGUGGGAGACUACGAAGUUGCGGCGCCAGUCGUGAUGGAGUCGUCCUUGAAAUACCACCCUUCUUAUAUUUAGGUUCUAAUCCCGCGAAAACGGGAGACAUUGUGUGGUGGGUAGUUUGACUGGGGUGGUCGCCUCCUAAAGAGUAACGGAGGCUCGCAAAGGUACCCUCAGCAUGGAUGGUAAUCAUGCGCAGAGCGUAUUAGUACAAGGGUGCUUGACUGGGAGAGAGACAUCUCGAUCAGGUAGGAAACUAGGCUAAAGUGAUCCGGUGGUUCCGUAUGGAAGGGCCAUCGCUCAAAGGAUAAAAGGUACGCCGGGGAUAACAGGCUGAUCUCCCCCAAGAGCUCAUAUCGACGGGGGGGUUUGGCACCUCGAUGUCGGCUCGUCACAUCCUGGGGCUGGAGAAGGUCCCAAGGGUUGGGCUGUUCGCCCAUUAAAGUGGCACGCGAGCUGGGUUCAGAACGUCGCAAGACAGUUCGGUCUCUAUCUAUUGUGGGCGCAGGAAUAUUGAGAAGAUCUGACACUAGUACGAGAGGACCGUGUUGGACAAACCUCUAGUGUAUCGGUUGUGGCGCCAGCUGCAUUGCCGAGUAGCUAUGUUUGGAAUGGAUAAGUGCUGAAAGCAUCUAAGCACGAAGCCAACUUCAAGAUGAGUAUUCCAGUUCUUCGGAACGAAGGGUUGU